rnacentral:rRNA from 1 species
UACGUAGGGGGGCAAGCGUUGUCCGGAUUUAUUGGGCGUAAAGAGCGUGUAGGCGGCCAGGUAGGUCUGCUGUGAAAACUCGAGGCUUAACCUCGAGCUGUCGGCGGAAACCCAUCUGGCUAGAGUCCCGGAAGAGGAGAAUGGAAUUCCCGGUGUAGCGGUGAAAUGCGCAGAUAUCGGGAAGAACACCCGUGGCGAAGGCGGUUCUCUGGGACGGUACUGACGCUGAGACGCGAAAGCGUGGGGAGCGAACAGG